GAUGAACGCUGGCGGCGUGCCUAAUACAUGCAAGUCGAGCGAACAGACGAGGAGCUUGCUCCUUUGACGUUAGCGGCGGACGGGUGAGUAACACGUGGAUAACCUACCUAUAAGACUGGGAUAACUUCGGGAAACCGGAGCUAAUACCGGAUAACAUGUUGAACCGCAUGGUUCAACAGUGAAAGACGGUCUUGCUGUCACUUAUAGAUGGAUCCGCGCCGCAUUAGCUAGUUGGUAAGGUAACGGCUUACCAAGGCAACGAUGCGUAGCCGACCUGAGAGGGUGAUCGGCCACACUGGAACUGAGACACGGUCCAGACUCCUACGGGAGGCAGCAGUAGGGAAUCUUCCGCAAUGGGCGAAAGCCUGACGGAGCAACGCCGCGUGAGUGAAGAAGGUCUUCGGAUCGUAAAACUCUGUUAUUAGGGAAGAACAAAUGUGUAAGUAACUAUGCACGUCUUGACGGUACCUAAUCAGAAAGCCACGGCUAACUACGUGC
rnacentral:rRNA from 1 species